rnacentral:rRNA from 1 species
UACGUAAGAGGCGAGCGUUGUCCGGAAUCACUGGGCGUAAAGCGCGUGUAGGCGGCUUGGCAAGUCGGAUGUGAAAUCCCCGGGCUCAACCCGGGAAUUGCGUCCGAAACUGCCUCGCUCGAGAGCAGGAGAGGAGAGUGGAAUUCCGGGUGUAGCGGUGAAAUGCGUAGAUAUCCGGAGGAACACCAGUGGCGAAGGCGGCUCUCUGGCCUGUUUCUGACGCUGAGACGCGAAAGCGUGGGGAG